CGCAAAGCUCUAUCAGCAGGGAAGAAAAUGACGGUACCUGACUAAGAAGCCCCGGCUAACUACGUGCCAGCAGCCGCGGUAAUACGUAGGGGGCAAGCGUUAUCCGGAUUUACUGGGUGUAAAGGGAGCGCAGACGGCGAAGCAAGUCUGAAGUGAAAUGCAUGGGCUCAACCCAUGAAUUGCUUUGGAAACUGUUUGGCUUGAGUGUCGGAGGGGUAAGCGGAAUUCCUAGUGUAGCGGUGAAAUGCGUAGAUAUUAGGAGGAACACCGGAGGCGAAGGCGGCUUACUGGACGACAACUGACGUUGAGGCUCGAAGGCGUGGGGAGCAAACAGGAUUAGAUACCCUGGUAGUCCACGCAGUAAACGAUGAAUACUUGGUGUCGGGGAGGUAAACUCUUCGGUGCCGCAAGCAAACGCAUUAAGUAUUCCACCUGGGGAGUACGUUCGCAAGAAUGAAACUCAAAGGAAUUGACGGGGACCCGCACAAGCGGUGGAGCAUGUGGUUUAACUCGAAGCAACGCGAAGAACCUUACCAAAUCUUGACAUACUCUUGAAUAGUUUUGUAAUGAAGCUAGACCUUCGGGACAAGGGAUACAGGUGGUGCAUGGUUGUCGUCAGCUCGUGUCGUGAGAUGUUGGGUUAAGUCCCGCAACGAGCGCAACCCUUGUCGUCAGUAGCCAGCAGUAAGAUGGGCACUCUGACGAGACAGCCGGAGAUAAUCCGGAGGAAGGUGGGGAUGACGUCAAAUCAUCAUGCCCCUUAUGAUUUGGGCUACACACGUGCUACAAUGGCGUAAACAAAGUGAAGCAAAGCCGCGAGGUCAAGCAAAUCACAAAAAUAACGUCUCAGUUCGGAUUGUAGUCUGCAACUCGACUAUAUGAAGCUGGAAUCGCUAGUAAUCGCAGAUCAGAAUGCUGCGGUGAAUACGUUCCCGGGUCUUGUACACACCGCCCGUCACACCAUGGGAGUCAUCAAUGCCCGAAGUCAGUGAACUAACCGUAAGGAAGGAGCUGCCGAAGGCAGGGA
rnacentral:rRNA from 1 species